UGCCCAGAUACAUUCAUGCACUGCGCACACAGGAUACUUGCUCCUGGGAGAUAAGAGCUGACCAGGAACAAUGACGGGGUCUACGCCCAGUGUCCGCGCCCUGAUUCCUGCAGUCUGCAACACCCCCCCCCCCCACCUUCUCCCCCCACCAAAUCCAAAGCCAAACGCCUCUGGCCUCUUUCCUUUCCCUUGGGCCUUUGGCCGAAGGUGGCCCUCCUGACUCAUUCACUUUCCGUUUCUUCCCACAGAUACAUCCAUUAAUGCCUUUUCCAGCCGGAGUCAAACUUUUCGGGAAUGGGAGGAAGAAGGCGGGAGAGUUUGCUAGGAAAGGGAAUAACCUGGCACCGACGCUAGAGAAGAUUCGGAUGUAGAUCAAGCCAUCAAGAAACUACUUUUGGGCGAGCGUGCCCUCUACACCAAUUGGCAGCACUGGGGAGCGCGGCACCCCGCGGUUGAGCACAGCCCCAACCUUCUUCGCUGAGACCCAGAAGUCCGAGGGUUUGAGCUGGGGACUGUCAUCCCCACCCAGUGGCGUGGCCCUCUUUGCCCGCCUAGUUCUCUCUGAGAUCUCCUACCUCCCCUGCUGGACCCAGGAGCGGUCUACUUAGGCUGCCUCUGGGGUACCCGCGCUCGCGGCCUGACUCCCUUCUCCCCAACAUCCAAAAUAGAUUACCUUAUCCACGCUCUUCAGACCACGCUGUGGACUUCCUCACUUUUAUUUAAGAGUCCUCCCGGGAAAAGAGGGUGGGGGAAAUCCAGAGCAGAUCCGAAUAAAUUGGAAAAAAAAUUCAAAAGGGUGUCCACGGCAGCAAAAAGGUGACUUAUAAAUUCUUUAUUUCUUCAGGAGCAAUUGCGCUCCCUCGCCUCCCUCCCUUCCCCUCCCCCCUAUCCAAAUUAGUCUCAUCAAUUCAGCUCCAAUUUGGGGUUCGAAUACAGACACGGGUCUGAACGUGACCAGACCUGGAGUGGCGGCGCAGACUGCCAGCAAUUGAGACUCGGUUUACUGUGGGGGGUGGGGUGGGGGCCGGGCCCACUCCCCCUCCUCCUGUCUGCUUCUCAAUCCAGGGGUCUGCUCCGGGGCUCCCCUGGGACCGCCACAUCUGGUUACCGCUAGCGGGGUCAGUCCCCCCCUUUGCCUGGGGCCACCAGUUCUGGAGUUCAAUUAAAAGAAAUCAGGCUUAACCCUUUCCUGCCUGCGGCCGGGCCGCCCGCCCUCUGGCUCUUCCAACUUCAGCGUUUCCACAUGCUUUCCAGAGAGGAAAGAGGUUAAAGGGAAAGGAAGAAUGAAUUACAUCCUUUCAAACCCCAAAUUGUUUCCUUUUCAGCCCAGACUCUACAGACAUUCAAAGGACAACGUAGUUUUCAGGAGGGUGCACCCAAGCCUUACCGUGCUUCUCUCUGCCCCCAAAGGACUGUUUACUUCGCCACGAGGUCCCCCUUCCAGGCACUGGACAGACAGAGGCCACUAAUAGCCACUUCACAUGUAGUAACUAACUCAGUCCCCCUUAGAAAGCACCAAGUAGCAGGCAACCAUUAGGUUUUUCUUUCCAACUUUUUUGAUCUGACAAAUGACAGUCAUCUUCACUACAGUGACCAGCAGUCGCUGGAAAAACCCCUGACUUCUCUGAGCCCAAUUUCUUCUCUCAUCAGUGCUGCUCAAGGAGAAUCCAGAUCAAAACGAAGACUUGAACUCCCAUCUUAGCUGGGAAACUUAAAGAGUGCUUUUGUCUCUGCCCGCAAAACUGACACUAUAAAACACUUUCUCGUUUUUUUGGGCGGGAGGGGGAGGCUAGCGUGUACACACACACACACACACACACACACACACACACACACACACAUCCCCUUGCCCCACAUAGUUGGACAUAGGGACCACUGCAGUCUUUGGCUAUUUGCCACCAAACCCUCCAUUCACAGGGAUCUCCACCCAGAAUAAGGCUCAGUCCCCCGGUUUGAGCAGAUUUGGGAUAGGAUGUCAGAUUCCUUCCAUCCUAUGUUGCCGCGCUGGUGGGCAAGUUUGCUUGCUUAUGUAACUCUGGGUUUGGUACUCCACUCUAUCCUCCUCCUGGUUCUUUUUUAAAUCCCGAAGGGGGGAAAAGCCCUAACCAAACACAACAGUAAACAAGUCUGCCCUGUUUAAUGUGGUUACCACCAGACAUCUGGAAAGAUGGUUUGAUCCUGGCAGCUCACAUUGUUUUCAUGAGCAGCCAAAGAGAAUAUUUUGAAUGUUUGCAUUGAGACAAAUUGAUAGAGAGCCUGCGGUGAGGCCUGCUGCAAAUGAAAACUGUCUUGUGCUGGGAGAGGGCAGGUCCCUCCCCUUCUCUCACUUCUCACUCCCCUUCCCUUUCCUCGCCCUCUUCCUUCUCCCCCCCUCCUUUUCUGGCUCUCUGUGGCUCUUAUCCAUCCUUUCGCCUGCCUGUCUACCAGUCUAGCUCAAGAAUGGCAGUCCCUGCCCACACAGUGGUGGACGCCCUCUUUACCGGAGCUCCAAGGACUGUGGGCUUCACUGUUUCUCAGACUGGGCCUGGCAGGGAGCUAGAAGUUGGUAAGGUACCAUCGCAGCAGUUCCACUAGCUCAUUCUUCCUCUGAUUUUCAAGUCAGGGGAAGCUCAGAGCCAAAGAUGCCAGGCUACACAUUUCUUUUUAUAAGCCACCAACUGGAAAAAAAAUUUCAAUAGCAAAACAUCCUGGCUCACAUUUCUAAGUUGUAUAGAAGAUACAGCCACGUGGGUGAAUAUUUAGGAAGCAUUGAAUUUGGAGAAUUUUCAUUAAAGCGUUGAUGAAGCGACUUGCUUUGUACCAUACACACUUGACAAUUUCAAAGAUGCGGAAGUCCUGCUUCCCCAGGGAGGAGAACCGCCAACAAAACGUGUCUUGGCUCGCUCAAUGUCAGCCCUUUUGACCGGGUCAAGACUUUCCAGACGCAGGCUUCCCGGGCUCCUUUGGUCCCAGCCUGGAACUGGAGUGGGAGGACCUAACAAUCGAGCCUGAGGUGCCUUCGGAUCCUGCAACGACUGGGUCAUUUGAAGCUCCUAAAAGUGCCAGAAAACAGGUCCAGAGCAGAGCAGAAGAUGCUGAUCAAUGGGCUCUCAUUUUCAUGGCUGAGGAAGUGGAUCACACGGUCAGAACACUUGGACUGGAGAAGCAAAGCCACUUAAGGUGUCAGCUGCUGUCCGACGAACUGUUCUAAGGAGACAGCCACCCAUCUGCCCCCAGCUGCCUUUCCAGAAACCUCCCUAUGUUACCAGGAAACCUCUAGGAAUACUUAGAACCCACAGAGGCAUCGUACACAGACACACAGCUAGGAGACCAGGCUGAACACUUCUGGGAAAGAUUGAACUUACUGCUGUGUAAAUAAAGGCUUUCCAGACUUGG